rnacentral:misc_RNA from 1 species
AAGGUGAACCUGCGGAAGGAUCAUUAAUAACGUAUCCAACGUAAAAAAAACAAACCCCGUGAACAUUGAUUUGCGCCCUUGCCAGCCUGUACGUGUCGCCGACUUAUAUGGUCAGAAAUCCCUAGUAAAUCACGCAAGACUAAUUGAUUUAGGGACUACUGGAUGACGGCCUCGGCCUGUAAAAGGUCCGUUAAGGCGAUACCAGUAGUCUCCGUCAUUGUUGGAAGUAGACCCCUCUGGGUAGUGAGGCGAUCUCAAGCUUAUCACAAGCCAUGGGACGACAUUUAUGAUAAGUUGUUGUCGACAAUGAGCUCAUCCACUCGUACACUGAUGUUAUUACGGGGGGUAGUGAAGGCUAUCCCCAUACUCUGAACAACUGUUAACAAUGGAUAUCUUGGUUCUC